CCUUGUGUUAAAAUGAAUUAGUUCAAAUUUUCAACAGGUCAUUUAUACGUGAAGAGCAACUUGUAUGGUUUCUGUGUUGUGCUGCUGGAAAUGCUGACAGGUUUGCGGGCACUUGAUUCCAAAUGCCUCAGGUCAUUGAUUGGGCAAAGCCCUUUCUCUCCAACUAAAGGAAGCUGAAAUCAAUCAUGGAUGUGCAGAUAGAAGGGCAAUAUUCUUCAAAGGCAGCAUCGAUUGCUGUCAACUCACUCUACAGUGCCUGGAAUCAGAACCUAGAAAACUUCCCCCCAUGAAAGAAGUUGUAGAUAUCUUUGAACGGAUCGAAGCCAUGAAGCAAAAACCAAAAGAAUCUCAAACCAUCUCUGCACAUUCUACAGCUCAUCAUCAUGGACAUCGACCUAUUCUUCAUCAUCAUCAUCAUCAUCAUCAUCAUCAUCAUCAUUCUUGGCUUCACCCGAGCCACCAUGGCAUCAUAUGAGCCAGAAAGCAAUCAAAUUGAGUGAGGUUGUUACACAAUCCCAUCUUGCAUGCAUUGUCUUCCAAGCCAUCAUCCUCUGAAAUGCAGCCUCCUCCCCCUAGUGAGCUACAUCCUGCAUAGCCAUUCUCUCCUCGCACUUACCGUAUCUUGGACACCACCUGUUUCUUCUCCACUAUCACCAUCGUCACCGCUAAUGCCUGGGCUAGCAAAUCUGAAUCAACCUCAUGACUGCUAAAAACCGGUGGUGGAGGUGAUGGUGGGCUGUGAGGAAAAUUCACUCCUCGAACACACAAAACAACGAACCAGCCCUUGCAGAAGGUUGGUGACGCCAACUGCUGAAGCAGUGUUGGAGGCGGCAGCAAGAGGAGGAACAUAGCCGCCCAUGGUUCCUCGGAGAAUAAACAGCAGGGUUUCGGACUUUUCGGCGGGGGCAGGAUUUAGAAUGAAAUUUAGAAUGAAUUAACCACCUUCCUCCCUCCCAUUGUUAGCUAGCGUUGAGCCUUCGUCGCCUUCACCAGACGAUAGGAGGAAGCUUCAUUGGGAUCAGUCAUUGCCUCUCUACCAACUUGGAACAAGUGAAGAGAAUUACAAAACAGGGGUGGACUUUAAUCAUAUUUGUGGUCUUAUAAUAGUGUACUAGUCUGGCUUGGACUUCUACUUGCCACCCAUGUCGUUUUGUCAGUUUUGAAGACUAAUUUGAUCAUUUUUGUGUAGCAUAUUUAAUUGUAUAUGUUUUAAAAAAUAAGAUUUGUACACUUUUAAGAACAUAUCAUUAUCAUUAUGAACAACUUACGUACAAUAAAAUUAAAAUAUCUAUACUA